CUAAAGGCUCUUUUCAGAGCCACCCACCUUUUCAUCAAGAGCAGCU
rfam:Tupaia chinensis contig216720, whole genome shotgun sequence.